rnacentral:rRNA from 1 species
AUGCACUCGCGCAUCGCAACGAAUCGCCGGCGACGCAGUCGAACCUCUGCCUAUCGAUGUGGCACCAAGGCCACGGCCAGCCCUUCGCAGCGACGCCCUCCGGCACGCGCGCGGCCUUCUCCUCGUUGCAGCCCCGCUCUGGGACAGGAGGCAGCGGCACGCCGUCGGUGCUGCGAUGCUCUCCGGCCUGCGCGUGGUGAACGGCGCCCCUCGGCCCCAGAGGCCGACGCGGCGAGCCAGGAUCCGGUGUUCGGCUCCUGUGCCUCCACGCGCAUCCGUGGCUCCUGGCGGCUACCGGCCACGGCCCCCACGCCGUGGCGGCGCGCGACGCAUCUCCAUGCUCCACGGCCGCUCACGGCACGGCGGUCGCAAAGACGGCGGUGGCCAGCACCCAUCCUGGCCCGGCUCUUUGCGGGACGGCGCGCAGCCUACUGCUUGGCCGCCCUCUCUACGCUGUCGUUCCUCCCGACGUGA